rnacentral:rRNA from 1 species
GAAAGCGUGGGGAGCGAACAGGAUUAGAUACCCUGGUAGUCCACGCCGUAAACGAUGAGUGCUAAGUGUUAGGGGGUUUCCGCCCCUUAGUGCUGCAGCUAACGCAUUAAGCACUCCGCCUGGGGAGUACGGUCGCAAGACUGAAACUCAAAGGAAUUGACGGGGGCCCGCACAAGCGGUGGAGCAUGUGGUUUAAUUCGAAGCAACGCGAAGAACCUUACCAGGUCUUGACAUCCUCUGACAAUCCUAGAGAUAGGACGUCCCCUUCGGGGGCAGAGUGACAGGUGGUGCAUGGUUGUCGUCAGCUCGUGUCGUGAGAUGUUGGGUUAAGUCCCGCAACGAGCGCAACCCUUGAUCUUAGUUGCCAGCAUUCAGUUGGGCACUCUAAGGUGACUGCCGGUGACAAACCGGAGGAAGGUGGGGAUGACGUCAAAUCAUCAUGCCCCUUAUGACCUGGGCUACACACGUGCUACAAUGGACAGAACAAAGGGCAGCGAAACCGCGAGGUUAAGCCAAUCCCACAAAUCUGUUCUCAGUUCGGAUCGCAGUCUGCAACUCGACUGCGUGAAGCUGGAAUCGCUAGUAAU